rnacentral:lncRNA from 1 species
AGAUUUUUCUCCGGGCAGUCGCGUACCCAAUGAGGGCCAUUGCAAAUGAAGCAUGGGCUUCGAGGCUUGGGUGGCUUCUCGGACUUACUUUGCCCGUCCUUGCCGCUUGGAGGCUUUUUCUUGCUCCAUUCCUUGCAAUUGCGGUUGUUGUCCUCAUGGUUCUCUCCCCCACCUUGGUCAUAGCUAGACCUCUUGUCCUUGAGCUGGGCGGAGUAUUCGGUGAGCGACUCCGCAAUGGCGAUGGCGUCGUCAAGUGUUUGAACACCACGCCUAUCAAGCUCGGUCUUGGCCCAAUCCUUGAGGCCAUCUUGAAAGUAGAAGAGUGAAUCUUUGUCGGACAUGUCGCUUAUCUCCAACAUAAGGGUAGUAAACUCGUUGAUGUAGUCCCGAAUGCUACCCGAUUGCUUGAGGCGACGUAAGCGCGCUCGCGCUUCCUUCUCCGCAUUGCUUGGGGCGAACUGCUUUCGGAGUUCUUGCUUGAAGUCAGCCCAAGUGUCGAUGGCGCAAAUGCCCUUGCCAUCUCGCCAUGCUUGCGACGCCACCAUAGUUGUGCAACGCCUCUUAGAUCGGUGGGUGCAGUGCCCACUUUCGAUGCCUCGUAGGCGUGUGCCAUCGUAGGUGUCGGGCUUUGGCACAUCAAUGCGGCGCGCAUCACUCGAGUUUGCGGAAGCUGGACUUGCGGAGAGUGUGCACUUGUGCCAUGCCCAAUCCGAGCGAACUUCAUCCACUUCUGCACGGACAGCGCGUAGUUCGUCCUGAACAAAACUACGAAGUUUCAACAACUCAUCAUGGAAAGAUCGAAACUCACCUCGGAGAGUGUUCGCUUGCUCAUGGAUGAGAGCUUUUGUGGCCACUGUGAACUCGCCGUAUUCUCCCUCAAGAUUGUCCACUCUUCCCUCCAAUCCCUCGAGGCUAUCUUAAGCGGCGGACAAUGCUAUUUCGAGAAUGCCUACACGAGGCUCCAACACAUCCACGGAUGGGGCCUUGGACUUGCCGCGAGUCUUGCCUUGGGCACGUUCUCCCUCUCGGCCGCGGCUUGGUUCUGGUGGAACAUCCACACCAACAACACCCUCUUGUGCUACGUUCGAAGGGUUGGCCAUUGCUUCGUGAGCUAACUUGCGUGCGUUCAAACCUUAGCUCUGAUACCACUUAUCACGGGAUGAGUUAUUUGCGCAGCUAACCUGUGCGGCACUUAGACAACUUUGCCGAAUGUUGCUAAGUAAGCCUAGAACUUCUCGAACUAGAGAAUAGAGCAAUUGAGCCAAAGAAGAAACUUGUAUUGCACAAAGAGAGAUUACAGUGCUUGUUGUUGAGUUUGUUGGAUACAAAUGCCUAAUGCCAUCCCAUAUUUAUAGGGGAGGCUUGCCAAGCUCUAGAGAUUCUAGAGAAUUCUACCAUUUCCUAGCUAUUUACAUGUGCUGAAAUUCUAUGGAGAAUUCUAGAGUAUUUACAAGCUAAAUGUGCUAGAGUUGCCUAGAAUGUUCCGGAAUUGGGCCAAGCUAGCACUCUUGGCCUUGUGUUGGCUCUCUAGCCCGAAAUUGUGGUCAAUUGGGCUAGCGAAUUGGGCGGUCCGCGACAUUCUCCCCCACCUAAGCUCACGGCGUCCUCGUCGCGCUCUCGUGCUUGAACCUUUGGAUGUGCUCAGCGAAUUGCCACAAAUCUUCUUCACGUUCCCAAGUGGCUUCGCUUUCGGGGAGGUUUUUCCACUUCACCAAGUACUCACUAUGUGCUGGCACGCCCCUCCUCGAAACCACGCGGUCCGCAAUGAUGUAGUCCACAUCUUUGUCGAACGCGGUGACAACGACAAUUGGCGCGCACCUCGAUUCUUCGCGACUUGGGUCUCCCAUGUCUUCGUGAUAUGGCUUGAGAAGACUCACAUGGAAGACCGGAUGGAUCUUGAGUCUUGGCGGAAGUUGGAGUUGAUACGAGACAUUGCCCACACGUCAAACAACUCGGAAGGGUCCCUCGUAGCGCCUCAUUAACCCCUUGUAAACUUUCCGCAAAGUCUUGAAUUGUUGGGGUAGGAGCUUGAUCAUGACUUGAUCGCCUUCCUAGUACUCAACAUGCCGUCUCCGUGUAUCUGCCCAUUUCUUUAUUUUCCUCGCGGCUUUGUCGAGGUAGGCUCGCGUGAUGUCCGCUUCCUCAUGCCAUUCGCGGGCGAGCUUGUGUGCCGCGGGGCUUUUCCCUCCGUAAGUCGAGGCUAUGGCAUUGGGGGUCAUGGGCUGGAAUCCCAUGAUGAUCUCGAAUGGACUCUUGCCCGUAGCCUCGCUUCGCUGCAAGUUAUAAGAAAAUUGGGCAAUGUCAAGUAGCUUUGCCCAAUCCCGCUGGUGAGCGCUCACAUAAUGCCUCAAGUACAUCUCGAGAAGGCCAUUGAUGCGCUCGGUCUGCCCAUCCGUUUGUGGGUGGAAGCUUGUCGAGAACUUGAGAUCGGUCCCCAACAUUUUGAAGAGCUCCGUCCAAAAACGCCCAGUGAACCGAGGGUCUCGGUCGCUCACAAUGCUCUUCGGAACUCCCCAAAGCUUCACAAUGUGCUUGACGAAUAGGCGGGCUGCCUCGUCCGCUUUGCAAUCGACUGGUGCGGCAAUGAAUGUGGCAUACUUGCUGUAUCGGUCGACAACGACCAUGAUGCUUCCGCAUCCUUCGGACUUGGGCAGCGAUGUUAUGAAGUCCAUGGAGACACUUUCCCAUAGCCUUGUUGCUAGUGGUAGCGGCUCUAAUAAUCCCGCUGGGAGUUGAUGAUCAACCUUGUCUUGUUGGCACACAAGACAAGUUCGCACAUAUGCCUCGAUGUCGUCCCUCAUGUGCGGCCAAAAAUACGAGGCUUGGACUAGUGCGGUGGUGCGCUCGAUUCCUGGGUGACCAGCCCACUUGGAGUCAUGGCACUCCUUGAUUACCUCCUUCCGCAAGUUUCCCCACCUUGGCACGAACAGCCGAUAUCCCUUGGUGAGGAGGAUGCCUUCCUCUUGCCAAAAUCGCCUUGUCUUCCCCUCGAGUACCUUCUCCAGCAAAUCCUUUGCUUGCGGAUCUUGUUGGAGACCUUCCUUGAUGCAUGAGACAAGGUCAGACUUCGGUUGGCUUAUGCUAAGUGUUGCCAAUUCGGCCUUGCGGCUUAGAGCGUCCGCAACGACAUUGGCCUUGCCUGGUUUGUACUCGAGCCGAUAGUCGAAUUCCGCUAGAAAAUCUUGCCACCGUGCUUGCUUCGGACUCAACUUCUUUUGCGUCGGAAAGUAGCUUGUCGCCACGUUGUCCGUCAUAAUCGUGAAGUGUGAGCCAAGCAAGUAAUGUCGCCACACUCUUAGGCAAUGGAUGAUGGUUGUCAUCUCCUUUUCUUGUACCGUGUAGCGGCGUUCCGUAUCGUUUAGCUUUCGACUCUCGAACGCUAUGGGGUGGCCUUCUUGCAUGAGGACUCCUCUUAUGGCGAAAUCUGAGGCAUCUGUUUGGACUUCGAAGGGCUUUGUGUGGUUCGGAAGAGCGAGGACAGGUUCCUCCGAAAUUGCUCUUUUCAACUCCUCGAAUGCGCGUUGGCACUCUUCGGACCAGUGCCACGUUCUGUUUUUCUUGAGCAUAUCCGUCAAGGGUGCCGCAUUGGCCGAAUAGCCCUUGAUGAAGUGGCGGUAAUAGUUCACCAGCCCAAGGAAUGAGCGAAGCUCGGGCACUUUUGAGGGAGGCUCCCAAUCGAGGAUGGCCUUUACUUUGGCAUUCUCCAUCAUAAUCUUCCCGCCCGCAAUCUUGUGGCCAAGGAACUCCACUUCUUGUUGUGCAAACGAGCACUUCUCCAACUUGAGGAAGAGCUCGUUGUCUCGGAGCACUUGGAGGACUUGUCGUAAAUGUUGGGCAUGAUCCUCGAGCGUGGUGCUAUACACCACUAUGUCAUCCAAGUACACGACCACGAAGCGGUCGAGGAAUGGUUGAAGCACCUUGUUCAUGAGUGUGAAAAAUGUGGCGGGUGCAUUAGUAAGGCCAAAAGGCAUCACAAUAAAUUCGAAAGACCCGUACCUUGUUGUGCACGCUGUCUUCGUUUCGUCUCCCUUGGCGAUGCGCACUUGGUAGUACUCGGAGCGCAAGUCGAGUUUGGUGAAGUACCAUGCUUUGCCAAGCUGGUCGAACAAGUCCGCGAUCAAGGGAAUCGGAUACUUGUUCUUGAUGGUAAUCUUGUUAAGCGCUCUAUAGUCGAUGAACAUCUGCAGCGUUCCAUCCUUUUUCUUUUGGAAGAGGACUGGUGCACCGAAUGGGGCCUUUGAGGGACGGAUGUAGCCUGCGUCCAGCAAGUCUUUGAGUUGUCUCCGCAACUCUUCUAAUUCGGGUGGCGCCAUGCGGUAGGGCGCCAAGGCUGGUGGCUUCGCGCCUUGUUCCAGUUCGAUUGCAUGGUCUACCUCUCGUCGAGGUGGGAGCUUCUUCGGAAGUUUUGGAGGCAUCACGUCCUUGUACUCAACGAGGACGGUUUGAAUUCGCGGAGGGACUUGGCUUGGCGACGUUCCGCUAUUUCCUUCCUCAUUUAGUUCCCGAAUGGAGACCAAGAAGCUUGGGUCCUUCUUGAAAGCCCUCUUGAAUUGCAUGGCGGAGAGUGUCUUCUCCUCGGACUUGCCUCGCUUCGUGGGAACCAUGCAUGCUUUGCUCCCGUCGAGGAUGCUUAGGGAGUUUGUAGCUGGCAGCGGGAAGGCAUGGACUGGUUGAAGAAUUCCAUGCCGAGGACCAUCUUGAAGUCAUCCAUGGGCACGAUGGAGAAGUCAAGCUUUCCGCUCCACGUACCGAGUGUUAAGUGCACGCCUUGUACGAUUCCCGCAAUUGGCUUGGCGGGUGAGUUUACUGCCUUCAUUGUGCCUCCUUCCUUGGUGGCCUUGAGGCCUAAGCGCUUGGCCUCGUCUACGGACACGAAGUUGUGUGUUGCUCCCGUGUCUAGCAGCGCGCGAACGGACUGACCGUUUACCUUUGCGCUUACAUACAUGAGCCCUUUCUUGACAAGUGCGGGCUGUUGGCGAUUGAGUGCGCCGAGGCAUUGGAGAGAACCCAUGCUGAGUUGGGGUUCCUCCGUGGACAUUGCGGGGUUGCUCUUGAGUUGGGCAGCAAGAGCGUUAAGCGACCUCUUCUCCGGACAGUCAUGUACCCAAUGAGGAUCGUUGCAUAUGAAGCAUGGGCUUCGCGGCUUUGGCGCCUCCUUCUUACCCUCCGAUUUUCCUUGCCCGCUCUUGUUGCUAGGCGGCUUUUUCUGCCCCCAAUCUUUGCGGUUGUUGCCCAUGUCCUUACGACUCUCUCCCCCACCUGUGCCUUGGUUGGCCUUUUUGUCUUUGGAUUGGGUAGAGUAUUUGGUGAGCGAUUCCGCAACGGUAAUGGCGUCGUCAAGUGUUUGAACACCACGCCUAUCAAGCUCGGUCUUGGCCCAAUCCUUGAGGCCUUCUUGGAAGUAGAAGAGCGAAUCCUUGUCGGACAUGUAGCUUAUCUCCAACAUGAGGGUAGUGAACUCGUUGAUGUAGUCUCGCAUGCUACCCGAUUGCUUGAGGCGACGUAAGCGCGCUCGCGCUUCCUUCUCCGCAUUGCUUUGGGCGAACUGCUUUCGGAGUUCUUGCUUGAAGUCAGCCCAAGUGUCGAUGGCGCAAAUGCCCUUGCCCAUCUCGCCAUGCUUGCGACGCCACCAUAGUUGUGCAGCGCCUCUUAGAUAGGUGGGUGCAGGGCCCACUUUCGAUGCCUCAUCUCGUACACCCAUGGCAUCGAAGUAUUG